rnacentral:tRNA from 2 species
ACUAUUUUGGCAGAUAAGUGCAUUAGAUUUAGAAUCUAUUAAUGUGAAGUUAUUUUACAGGUAGUA